AAAUAAAAUUUGCUUUAAAAUUAAAAGGAGACAUGAUAUACAGGCAUUAAUCUGGCAAGGGCAUUUUCUUUUUCUUCCCCCCAUCCUUAUCAGAAACAACUCUCUUUCACUUAGACAGCAGCACGCACUGAUGAUCCUUCCCAAGGAUCAUGUUACCUCUCCCACCUUCUGUCGUAACGGAGUCCAAAGGGACCUGCCCCACUGCAUAUCCCUCGGGACACCAUCAGUCCAUUACAUUGACGAGAUCGUGUCAUAGAAACAGACUCGGGCACCCACCAGACGUUCCAGCCAACAGCCCCCGUUGGGGUCUUACCCAACAGCCAGUGUCAGCCAUCAGCCGUGUGAGUGAGCGAGCGAUCUUUCGGAUAGUUCCUGCCCCGGCUUCCGGCUGCCCCAGCUGUCGCCAUAAAGGGCCCGGCAAUUUCUCUUUACCUACUCAGUGCAGAAUCGAGAAUCCGCCGCGCGGUUAGCUGCUCAGAUGUCGUCAGGCUUUCAUGGACGAACACUUCCCCUCUCGCUCCCCCUCCAACGUUCCAGCCUUCCCUGGGGACUGUGGCUUAGGAGGUAGGUGGUUUAGAACCAGCUUCCCAGAUGAACAGCUAGUUCGCAUGGCUUUUGAAGUUAUAAAAGCGAGAUACGCACAUUACAGAAAAUGUUGGAAAAUCAAGAAAAGCAAUCACCCACACUCCCACCUCCCCGCUGUGCGAGCCCGUUCUGCUCAUCUUUGUCUAUUUUUCCCAAAACCUACAGCGUUUUUUAAAAACCUGUUGUAGUCCUACUUUCCAUUUCGGUGUGAACCCUGAGCCUUCCAUUUAAAGCUGUGGUACACGCUCUUGUCAUUGUUUUCUUUCUUAAUGAAUACAUAGCGGCAUCGAGCGGCUGAACCACACUGUCUGUAAGGUGGUUCCGCCCCCGUUUGGCAAUUCGGGUGUUUGCCAGUUUCUACCUGCAGCGAACGUCCUGCCUAGAACUUUUUCCGAAAGCAAAAAGGACUUCCUCGGACCAGAUUCCUGGAAGAGAAAUGACCGAUCGGAAGUUGUGGGUAUCUUCUCGGCUCUGGAUAUACAUCCCUUGUCAGAUGGUCACAGAGACUUUAUUUUGAAUUAUGAUUGUCAUAGCCGAUGCCAUUAUUGUUAUGAAAGUAUAGAGCGAAUAAAAAUCACCCAUCCCCCCCC